CGUAAUUCGACUAAUAAUAUUAAAUUAGCGUAUUAAUAUUAUCAGAAGUGUCAUUUGCAAAAGUCUAAACUUCAAAAGUAUUAUGAGAAAAAAAGUGACCGCAAACUCCAGAAACUGUAGAGGUAGUUCACCUUAAUAAUCUGAGAAAGGAUUAACAACAAUUGAAAGGAGAAAGGAUUAUCAACUUGUUUAUUGAAAGCAUCCUCGUCUUUAUCACCAAUUACUAGAUUUUUACCAAGAGAGGAUAGUGUCACGUUACCUAAAUCAUCAAGAGCUUUGAGGAGAUUUUUAAGACUGUAAACCAUAAAAGAGCUUGCACCAAAACAUAUGAGUUAUGAAUG